GAGGAAUAUUGCGCAAUGGGGGAAACCCUGACGCAGCAACGCCGCGUGUGGGAAGAAGGCCUUCGGGUCGUAAACCACUUUUGCACGGGACGAAAAAGGGAUAUCGAACAAAUAUCCCCGAUGACGGUACCGUGAGAAUAAGCCACGGCUAACUCUGUGCCAGCAGCCGCGGUAAGACAGAGGUGGCAAGCGUUGUUCGGAAUUACUGGGCGUAAAGAGUCUGUAGGUGGUUUGUCAAGUCUUUGGUGAAAGGCCGUAGCUUAACUAUGGGAAUGCCAAAGAGACUGGCAGGCUGGAGGCUGGGAGAGGGAAGCGGAAUUUCUGGUGUAGCGGUGAAAUGCGUAGAUAUCAGAAGGAAGGCCGGUGGCGAAGGCGGCUUCCUGGAACAGUCCUGACACUGAGAGACGAAAGCGUGGGGAGCAAACAGGAUUAGAUACCCUGGUAGUCCACGCCCUAAACGAUGGGUACUAAGUGUGGAGGGGUUAAACCCUCCGUGCCGCAGCAAACGCAGUAAGUACCCCGCCUGGGGAGUACGGCCCSAAGGUUGAAACUCAAAGGAA
rnacentral:rRNA from 1 species